GUCCCCAUCGUCUAGAGGCCUAGGACACCGCCCUUUCACGGCGGCAACGGGGGUUCGAAUCCCCCUGGGGACGCCA
rnacentral:tRNA from 4 species